rnacentral:rRNA from 1 species
GACGAACGCUGGCGGCGUGCUUAACACAUGCAAGUCGAACGAAAAGAGGGAAAGAGCUUGCUCUGUCCGGAAUAGAGUGGCAAACGGGUGAGUAACACGUAAACAACCUGCCGUCAGGAUGGGGACAACAGACGGAAACGACCGCAAAUACCGAAGAAGUUCCAAGGGCCGCAUGGCCCAUGGAGGAAAAGGUGGCCCCGACCGGUAAGCUGGCGCCUGAAGGGGGGUAUGCGUCUGAUUAGCGGGAUGGGGGGGUCACGGGCCAACAAGGCGACGAUCAGUAGCCGGUCUGGGAGGAUGGACGGCCCCCCUGGGACUGGGAACCGGUCCAGCCCCCUACGGGGGGCCGCCGUGGGGGAUCUUCCGACAUGGGCGCAAGCCUGACGGCGCCCCGCCGGGUUGGAGGUGGCGGCCUUCGGGUUGUAAAACUCUGUGAUCCGGGACGAAAAGGCAUAGUGCGAAGAACAGACUGCAUUGACGGUACCGGAAAAGUAAGCCCCGGCUAACUACGUG